rnacentral:misc_RNA from 1 species
GCCGACUACCGRCGCCGUGUCCCGUCAUUCAUGUGGCUUUGGUUACUGUUGCCUUUCGAGUGCUURCGUGAAGAUACCCGACCUUCGGGAAGURGUGCUUCGUACACGGUUGCCUUGUGGUGGAUACCUUUGGGUGUCUCGCUGCGGCCUAACGGCGAUUGCGGCGUUGCCUCGUGRUGCCUACACAUUUUGUGCAUGGCUCUAUCAAGGCAGCCUCGCUUUUGCUGUUGGUUUCGGAUGUUGCUCACGAUAUAGGCUCGUGGCCCUUUUGGUUGCCUCGACCUGACCCUAAGCAUGCUCUCUGAAAACUUGAGGGUCGUGGAACGGGGUGUUGCCUCUACCUCUCCGCAGUUAGCGGUAGGAUACACAACAUCCUGGGCCGAUCCUCAUAACAGUAGGACGAGCUUGGCCCGCUCAAUCGCGACAACCGGMCAGGCAGUUGUCUAUGCCUUGCCACGCAAGUGGACGGACGGACGAUUGCCGAAACUGGGCGUCAAAAAGGACGUGCUACCUGGUUGAUCCUGCCAGUAGUCAU